CCAGGCCUGGGAUUUCCACGUGUCCACAUUUACUGAUCAGGACAGAACACAGAGAACUCACCAUGGACUUUGUGCUUGGCUGGGUUUUCCUUGUUGUUCUUUUAAAAGGUGUCGAGUGCGAGGUGCAGCUGGUGGAGUCUGGGGGAGACCUGGUGAAGCCUGGGGGGUCCCUGAGACUCUCCUGUGCAGCCUCUGGAUUCACCUUCAGCAGCUACAGCAUGAGCUGGGUCCGCCAGGCUCCAGGGAAUGGGCUACAGUGGGUCGCAGCUAUUUGGGAUGAUGGAAGUAAAACAUACUAUGCAGACUCUGUGAAGGGCCGAUUCACCAUCUCCAGAGACAACGGCAAGAACAUGCUGUAUCUGCAGAUGAAUAGCCUGAGAGCCGAGGACACGGCCGUGUAUUACUGUGUGAGGGAUGGAUACUUUGACUACUGGGGCCAGGGGACCCUGGUCACCGUCUCCUCCGCUUCCACCACGGCCCCAUCGGUUUUCCCACUGGCCCCCAGCUGCGGGGCCACCCCCGGACCCACAGUGGCCCUGGCCUGCCUGGUGUCCGGCUACUUCCCUGAGCCUGUCACUGUGUCCUGGAACUCCGGCUCCUUGACCAGCGGUGUGCACACCUUCCCGUCCGUCCUGCAGUCCUCGGGGCUCUACUCUCUCAGCAGCAUGGUGACCGUGCCCUCCAGCAGGUGGCCCAGCGACACCUUCAUCUGCACCGUGGCCCACCCAGCCAGUAACACCAGGGUGGACAAGAGAGUGCCCCCAGGAAAAAUUCCUCCGCCAUGCACAUGUCCCCCACGUGCAGAAUGUGAUAUGCUCGGAGGACCUUCAGUCUUCAUGUUCCCCCCGAAACCCAGGGACACCCUCUCCAUUUCCCGAACCCCCGAGGUCACAUGCAUGGUGGUGGACCUGGAAGACCCUGAGGUCCAGAUCAGCUGGUUCGUGGACAACCAGGAGAUGCACACGGCCAAGACGAAUUCACGAGAGCAGCAGUUCAACAGCACCUUCCGUGUGGUCAGUGUCCUCCCCAUCCAGCACCAGGACUGGCUCAAGGGGAAGGUCUUCAAGUGCAAGGUCAACAACAAAGCUCUCCCAUCCCCCAUUGAGAGGACCAUCUCCAAGGUCAAAGGGGAAGCCCAUCAGCCCAGUGUGUAUGUCCUGCCCCCAUCCCGGGACGAGCUGAGCAAGAACAGGGUCAGUGUGACCUGCCUGGUCAAAGACUUCUACCCACCUGACAUUGAUGUGGAGUGGCAGAGCAACGGCCAACAGUUUCCAGAGGCCAGUGUGCGAACAACCCCGCCCCAGCUGGAUGCGGACGGCACCUACUUCCUCUACAGCAAGCUCUCGGUGGACAAGGCGCGCUGGCAGCGGAAAGAAACCUUCACGUGUGCGGUGCUGCAUGAAGCCCUACACAACCACCACACGCAGAAGACCAUCUCCCAGUCUCCGGGUAAAUGAGCCGCACGCCCGGCCCCCCCGCGAGCCCCCACCCACAGGCUCUUGGGGUCCCCCGAGGACGCCGGAGCCCCCACCCCUGUGUACGUACCUCCCGGGCAGGCGCCCCUGCGUGAAAUAAAGCACCCAGCACUGCCCUGGGACCCAGCGA